UACGAAGGGGGCUAGCGUUGUUCGGAAUUACUGGGCGUAAAGGGCGCGUAGGCUGUGCUGUAAGUCAGGCGUGAAAUCCCCGGGCUCAACCUGGGAAUUGCGUUUGAUACUGCGGCGCUGGAAUGCAGGAGAGGAUGGCGGAAUUCCCAGUGUAGAGGUGAAAUUCGUAGAUAUUGGGAAGAACACCGGUGGCGAAGGCGGCAUCUGGCCUGUAAUUGACGCUGAGGCGCGAAAGCGUGGGGAGCAAACAGG
rnacentral:rRNA from 1 species